rnacentral:rRNA from 1 species
UACGUAGGGGGCAAGCGUUAUCCGGAAUUACUGGGCGUAAAGCGCACGCAGGCGGUUCGCCAAGUUUGGAGGGACAGUUGUCGGCUCAACCGACAAAGGACUUCAAAAACUGGUGAACUUGAGGACGAGAGAGGAACAUGGAACUCCAGGUGUAGUAGUGAAAUGCGUAGAUAUCUGGAAGAACACCAAUGGCGAAGGCAAUGUUCUGGCUCGUUUCUGACGCUCAGGUGCGAAAGCCAGGGGAGCGAACGGG